rnacentral:rRNA from 1 species
UUGUAGAUUUCGCACACUCGAUAAGCCUUCGUGGUUCAGUCGUGCGGAGUGGUAGGAGAGCGUCGUGUGGCGAGUGAAGCGGCGGAGUGAUCCAGCCGUGGACGCUACACGAGUGAGAAUGCAGGCAUGAGUAGCGAAAGACGGGUGAGAAACCCGUCCUCCGAAAGACCAAGGGUUCCAGGGCCAGGUUAAUCCGCCCUGGGUAAGUCGGGACCUAAGGCGAGGCCGACAGGCGUAGUCGAUGGACAACGGGUUGAUAUUCCCGUACCGGCGAACAACCGCCCAAGCUAAUCCAGUGGUGCUAAGAGUCCUAACCCGCAUUGACCGGAUCCCUUCGGGGUGAUGGCGUGCGGUCUAACGCUCGACCCCAUGCUGGUGCGGUUAGCGUAUGAACAGGUGUGACGCAGGAAGGUAGCUGAGCCAGGCGAUGGUAUCCGUAAGGUGAUCCUGGUGUAAGGAUGUAGGGCUGACGAUAGGCAAAUCCGUCGUCUAGAUGCCUGAGAUCCGACGCGUACCCGUAAGGGGAAAUCAGUGAUCCUAUGCUGCCGAGAAAAGCAUCGACGCGAGGUUGCAGCCGCCCGUACCCGAAACCGACUCAGGUGGUCAGGUAGAGAAUACCAAGGAGAUCGAGAGAAUCGUGGUUAAGGAACUCGGCAAAAUGCCCCCGUAACUUCGGGAGAAGGGGGGCCGGACACGUGAUGCGGACUUGCUCCGCUGAGCGUUGAAGGCCGCAGAGACCAGUGGGAAGCGACUGUUUACUAAAAACACAGGUCCGUGCGAAGUCGCAAGACGAUGUAUACGGACUGACGCCUGCCCGGUGCUGGAAGGUUAAGAGGAAGGGUUAGCCUUUGGGCGAAGCUCUGAAUUUAAGCCCCAGUAAACGGCGGUGGUAACUAUAACCAUCCUAAGGUAGCGAAAUUCCUUGUCGGGUAAGUUCCGACCUGCACGAAUGGCGUAACGACUUCCCAGCUGUCUCAACCGCGAACUCGGCGAAAUUGCACUACGAGUAAAGAUGCUCGUUACGCGCAGCAGGACGGAAAGACCCCGUGACCUUUACUACAGCUUGGUAUUGGUGUUCGGUGUGGCUUGUGUAGGAUAGGUGGGAGACUGUGAAGCGGGCACGCUAGUGUUCGUGGAGUCGUUGUUGAAAUACCACUCUGGUCACUCUGGAUGUCUAACGUAGGACCCUGAUCGGGUUCAUGGACAGUGCCUGGUGGGUAGUUUAACUGGGGCGGUUGCCUCCCAAAGAGUAACGGAGGCGCCCAAAGGUUCCCUCAACCUGGUUGGCAAUCAGGUGGCGAGUGUAAGUGCACAAGGGAGCUUGACUGUGAGACUGACAGGUCGAGCAGGGACGAAAGUCGGGACUAGUGAUCCGGCAGUGGCUUGUGGAAGCGCUGUCGCUCAACGGAUAAAAGGUACCUCGGGGAUAACAGGCUGAUCUUGCCCAAGAGUCCAUAUCGACGGCAUGGUUUGGCACCUCGAUGUCGGCUCGUCGCAUCCUGGGGCUGGAGUAGGUCCCAAGGGUUGGGCUGUUCGCCCAUUAAAGCGGUACGCGAGCUGGGUUUAGAACGUCGUGAGACAGUUCGGUCCCUAUCCGCUGCGCGCGUUGGAAAUUUGAGAAGAUCUAUCCCUAGUACGAGAGGACCGGGAUGGACGAACCUCUGGUGUGUCAGUUGUUCUGCCAAGGGCACCGCUGAUUAGCUACGUUCGGACCGGAUAACCGCUGAAAGCAUCUAAGCGGGAAGCCGUCUUCGAGAUGAGAUUUCCAUGCACCUUGAGUGUGAGAGGCUCCCAGCAGACUACUGGGUUGAUAGGCCGGAUGUGGAAGCGGGGACUAACGACCCGUGGAGCUGACCGGUACUAAUAAGCCGAAGACUUGACAAC